rnacentral:rRNA from 1 species
GGUGAGUAAUGCUUCAGGAAUCUGCCCUUUAGUUGGGGAAUAACUAGCCGAAAGGUUAGCGUAAUACCUGCACAAGUACCUACGGGUGAAAGCAGGGGAUCGUAAGACCUUGCGCUGAUGGAUGAGCCGAAGUCGGCAUUAGCUAGUUGGUAGGGUAACGGCCUACCAAGGCGACAAUCCGUAGCUGGUCUGAGAGGACGACCAGCCGCACUGGGACUGAGACAGGUCCAGACUCCAUAUGGGAGGCAGCAGUGGGGAAUAUUGGACAAUGGGGGCAACCCUGAUCCAGCGACGCCAGAGUGUGUGAAGAAGGCCAUGCGGGUUAGUAAAGCACAUUUACGUGGGGAUGCACCAGCCGAUGGAUAACACCCGUCAGGUCUUGACCUAACCCACAGAAAAAGCACCGGCUAACUCUGUGCCAGCA